GACGAACGCUGGCGGCGUGCCUAAUACAUGCAAGUCGAGCGAACAGACGAGGAGCUUGCUCCUUUGACGUUAGCGGCAGACGGGUGAGUAACACGUGUGUAACCUACCUAUAAGACUGGGAUAACUUCGGGAAACCGGAGCUAAUACCGGAUAAUAUUUCGAACCGCAUGGUUCGAUAGUGAAAGAUGGCUUUGCUAUCACUUAUAGAUGGACCUGCGCCGUAUUAGCUAGUUGGUAAGGUAACGGCUUACCAAGGCAACUAUACGUAGCCGACCUGAGAGAGUGAUCGGCCACACUGGAGCUGAGACACGGUCCAGACUCCUACGGGAGGCAGCAGUAGGGAAUCUUCCGCAAUGGGCGAAAGCCUGACGGAGCAACGCCGCGUGAGUGAUGAAGGUCUUCGGAUCGUAAAAAUCUGUUAUUAGGGAAGAACAAACGUGUAAGUAACUGUGCACGUCUUGACGGUAACUAAUCAGAAAGCCACGGCUAACUACGUG
rnacentral:rRNA from 1 species